rnacentral:rRNA from 1 species
UACGUAGGGGGCAAGCGUUGUCCGGAAUCAUUGGGCGUAAAGCGCGUGUAGGCGGUUCGAUUAGUCUGCUGUGAAAGUCGGGGGCUCAACCCUCGAAUGCCGGUGGAUACUGUCGGGCUAGAGUGCAGAAGAGGCGAGUGGAAUUCCUGGUGUAGCGGUGAAAUGCGCAGAUAUGUGGAGGAACACCAGUGGCGAAGGCGACUUUCUGGCCUAUAACUGACGCUGAGGCGCGAAAGCGUGGGGAGCGAACAGG